AAUUAUUCUAGUGGCUGUGCCAAGAGGAUUAGGCAAUUCCCAUCUGGAGAAUGAUGGCCAUCACGAGGAGCUCCUGAUCAGCACAAAGCCACUUUCCCGUGGUGAUGUCUACCUGCUGGAUUCCCCGAUGACGUGGAUUACUGGUCCUCUUGGCUUGCCUCUUCUGCUUCACUGCAGCUCUCAGAGUGGAAUCCAGCAUUCUCUGCUAUGACAGCAGGAUCAUCAUCACAGCAACAGCAGCACUCCCCAGUGCUCUGGCUGGGAGGAAGGUCAGUCUUCUCCUCCUUGACGAGAGUUACAUCAUCCUUUUUCUGCAUUAAAUCCUGACCACCCGUUCCCAUGGCCAAGCAACCUCUUGCAAAGUUUUGAACACUGGCUUCUGGAAAAGGAAGGAUAAAGUUAACCAAAACUUGGAAAGGAUCUGGAACUCACAGUCUGGAGAAACCUGCUGAGGAGUGUGAUCCUUCCUCAACAUCUGCAUGUGCUCUGCACUUCAGCUGGGUAUAGUUUAUCCCUUUACCCAAAAAGCCUGCAAUUUAAACAGGUAAAGGAAGGCAGGUAAAGCCAAUGUGAGAGAAAGAUGAAAGUGACACACAAAAAAGAGUUAUGAUACAAAAGACAUUACAGAAAUUUCUUGCCUUUAAAAGUGUGUUAGGUAAGAAUUAGGGUGCAGUGCCUUAUAUGAAGUAUUAUAAGGAAUGAAAUUCUGAAUCUGUGCCACAUGUGUAGCUUGUGAGGCUGACCAAAAUUUCUCACAGUCAUUAGUCUCAAGAGUCUAAAAUCUCUCAUCAUGACCAUUAAAUGUGCAAAUUGGACAGAUCAUCCUUUCAUUAUAGACAGUCAACAAUGCAGCCUGGUGGGGAGGUGGGGGGCAGAAACAGGAAGGAAGAUUUAAGAAUGGAAAGAAGGUGUUACAUUUAACUGUCACUUGCCCUUUAGAAUUACAGGGAGAGGACUGAGAUUUUUAUCAGAUGGAAAGCAAACUUUUGACUUGUUCUACACUGCUGGAUCUAGUAAUUAAUUACUGCUUAGGUUUUCCCCUUACCAGCUGCUGGGACUGGAGCAGCACUCCAAGAGGUACUUUGUGGCACUCUGCCUGAAUAGGAAUGAUGGCUACUCCACUAAGGGCAGCAAAGGCACACUGGUUUAAAUGUAGCAAUUCCAACUGAUAUGCUGGUUUGGAAGGAAGUCCCCUCAGUUUGUUUGGAGGUUCGUCUUCAACUCAUGAAGAAAAUAAGCAAAUCCAAGUUUCUGGUUGCUGCUUUCUACAACAGAGGCUGGCUGUUGCUUUGCCAUACCUGGUGUAAAGGGCCAUAGUCUCACCUGGGGUCUUUCAGCAUUAGCUGAAACUUGAUACCAGUUAUUUCUGUCUCUGACCUUUCUGUGUAAGGGUUUAAUUGCAGAUCAAUAAAUAAAGCUCAAGUCAUUUUUACUCUCUUAUUCUUUCCUUUUUAUUUAAAUCUAUCAAUAUCCAGACUGAAAAGACUUGCUCAGUACUCUAACUACACUUUCUAACCAUAGGUUUUAUUUUAAUAGAUUUAUCCAGUAUUAGUGAAAUUAAUGAGUAGAUUAAGCAAGCUUCAAAGUGUUUGAAAACAGCUAUUUGUGCCAUCAAGAGGUGCCUUUCCCCUCCUCUUCAAAGAGGCAACAUACAAAAUUCUUCAUUAGAUUCAGAUUCUCAUUUCCCCUGAGACCUUUAGACCCAUCUAUAUAAAUAGUCUGGUUGAACAAAGAAGGGAAGUUCUACUAAAUAGAGGCUUUGGGCCAAUAACACAGAGUAGAACAAAUACUGGAUCAGACCCUAAACCGAUUUUCCCAGUAAAAAAAAAAAAAAAAAAAAUCCCAUCCUGAGAAUCAGCACAAUAUCUGGGCAGUUCCUAAGCCUAUUCCUGUCAGCUUAGAGGAACGUGUAGAGCAUUGUGUCAGCUCUGCAGCACAGAGAUGAGUGGCAGUCAAAGCAGGAUCCUUCUGCACUAACAAAACCAGGGCAGUUCAGGGGCUCUCCCACUGGGAACUGCUGAACAUGGGCAGGUUGGGCACCUUGUCUGCCCGAGACUGUACAGGGCACAGCCCAAAGAGGGCAAAACUGCACUCAAGGAGAAGUGGUUUGAGCCAUACAUUAACAAAAUGUGCAUGUUCAGCACAGGAUUCCUACAGGAUAGGUUAAAACAGGCCUUGGAUGAUCCAGACAAAGUUAACAUGAUUUACAGCCAGAACAGCUCUCAUUUUUUGCAAACCUCACCUCCAUAUUUAUGGUAUUUCAGUUUUUAUUUUCAGGGGUUUUUUUUUCUCACUGCAGUUAAGCAGUGUACUAUUGAUCUGUUCUUCUUAUGAAAAACAUAGACUUGUUUCCAGUGUUUCUUUGUAACACAGACUGGUGACAUCAGAUUUGUAGGAAACAUUAAUAAACAUAAUAAAAUUUUGAA